rnacentral:tRNA from 1 species
GGGGAUAUAGCUCAGUUGGCUAGAGCACCUGUUUGUAAGCAGGGGUCCAGGGUUCGAGUCCCUGUAUCUCCACCA